UCAGACGAUGCGUCAUGCAUAUCAAUAAGCGGAGGAAAAGAAACUAACAAGGAUUCCCCUAGUAACGGCGAGUGAAGCGGGAAGAGCUCAAAUUUGAAAUCUUAAAGGGUUUCCCUUUACGAAUUGUAGUUUAAAGAAGUGUUUUCUGUUGAGGUUUUGGUAAAAGUUCUUUGGAAUAGGACAUCAUAGAGGGUGAGAAUCCCGUAUUUGACCUUUACUUUCAACUUUGUGAUACACUUUCAAAGAGUCGGAUUGGUUGGGAAUGCAGUCCAAAAUGGGUGGUAAAUUUCAUCUAAAGCUAAAUAUCGGCGAGAGACCGAUAGCGAACAAGUACCGUGAGGGAAAGAUGAAAAGAACUUUGAAAAGAGAGUUAAACAGUACGUGAAAUUGUCAAAAGGGAAGCGUUUGACACCAGUGUUGUUUUUCUGAAAAUCAAUUAAAGAACUGUUUAUGCUAAGUUGUUUAGACUUUAUCAGCUAACUGUUUAGUUUUGAGCUUUUCUUUAAUGCACUUUUCAGUUAACAAGUCAACAUCAAUUUCUUUUGCUGUAAAAAAGCUUGAGGAAGGUGGCUUGAGAUUCGUCUUAAGUGUUUAUAGCCUCUUGCCUAUGCAGUCGGAGAGAUUGAGGUCUGCAGCGUAGAUCCUUCGGGGCUAAAUGCAUUUGUGCUAAGUUAUAGCAUUUCAUAGACAACUUGUUGACUAUGAUUUGUCUUGUAGCUUACUUGCUUAUGUUAUUUUACCUACGCUUAGGAUGUUGAAUCUGUGCGAGACUAC
rnacentral:rRNA from 1 species